ACGCACAUUGCGCCCCUUGGUAUUCCAUGGGGCAUGCCUGUUCGAGCGUCAUUUGUAUCUUAAGCUUUGCUUAGUGUUGGGUGAUUGUCUGCAUGUAGUGCAGACUCGCCUUGAAUCUAUUGGCCGCCGAUAGUCUAGUAUGCGAGCGCAGCACAUUUGCGCACCGUACCCGUCUUAUUAGCCACCAUCAAGUACAAUAUCAACGUUUGACCUCGGAUCAGGUAGGGAUACCCGCUGAACUUAAG
rnacentral:misc_RNA from 1 species